AUACGUAGGGGGCGAGCGUUGUCCGGAAUGAUUGGGCGUAAAGGGCGCGUAGGCGGCGCGGUAAGUCUGGAGUGAAAGUCCUGCUUUCAAGGUGGGAAUUGCUUUGGAUACUGCCGCGCUUGAGUGCAGGAGAGGUUAUCGGAAUUCCCGGUGUAGCGGUGAAAUGCGUAGAGAUCGGGAGGAACACCAGUGGCGAAGGCGGGUAACUGGACUGCAACUGACGCUGAGGCGCGAAAGUGUGGGGAGCAAACAGGAUUAGAUACCCUGGUAGUCCACACUGUAAACGAUGAAUGCUAGGUGUAAGAGGUAUCGACCCCUUUUGUGCCGGAGUCAACACAAUAAGCAUUCCGCCUGGGGAGUACGGCCGCAAGGUUGAAACUCAAAUGAAUUGACGGGU
rnacentral:rRNA from 1 species